rnacentral:rRNA from 1 species
UACGUAGGGGGCUAGCGUUGUCCGGAUUUAUUGGGCGUAAAGAGCGUGUAGGCGGCCAUGUAGGUCCGGUGUGAAAAACUCGAGGCUUAACCUCGAGAUGUCAUCGGAAACCAUUUGGCUAGAGUCCGGAAGAGGAGAGUGGAAUUCCUGGUGUAGCGGUGAAAUGCGUAGAUAUCAGGAGGAACAACAGAAGCGAAGGCGGCUCUCUGGACAGUUACUGACGCUGAGGCGCGAAAGCGUGGGGAGCAAACAGG